rnacentral:rRNA from 1 species
AACGAACGCUGGCGGCAUGCCUAACACAUGCAAGUCGAACGGGCUGUAGCAAUACAGUCAGUGGCGAACGGGUGAUUAACGCGUGGGAACCUGCCUUGGAGUUCGGAAUAACUGCGGGAAACUGCAGCUAAUACCGGAUACGACCUAAGGGUGAAAGCAGCAAUGCGCUCCGAGAGGGGCCCGCGUCCGGUUAGCUAGUUGGUGAGGUAACGGCUCACCAAGGCGAUGAUCGGUAGCUGGUCUGAGAGGAUGAUCAGCCACACUGGAACUGAGACACGGUCCAGACUCCUACGGGAGGCAGCAGUGGGGAAUAUUGGACAAUGGGGGAAACCCUGAUCCAGCAAUGCCGCGUGGGUGAUGAAGGCCUUCGGGUUGUAAAGCCCUUUUGGCGGGGACGAUGAUGACGGUACCCGCAGAAGAAGCCCCGGCUAACUUCGUGCCAGCCGCCGCUGUAACAC